rnacentral:lncRNA from 1 species
GAACUGGGUGGUCGGGCCCAUGGAACUUCUGGACAUCGUAAUGAGGCGCCCACGGUACCGUCAUUCUCCGGCUGUAUUGCCAAAGUCCAUAUCAACGGCCAGCUACAAGACCUGGGCCCAGCGCUGCUCAGUAGCGGCAGCGCGGCGGGCUGUCGCUCCCUGGCCUGCCUGCGCCCCCACAACACGUGCCCCCUCCACGCCAGAUGUGUAGGAUCCCCGGGGACGGAGCUGUGUGAAUGUGUCCCAGGUUACACAGGACACGAGUGCACACAGCGGUCCGUGCCUGUAUACUUCCGUGCCAACAGCUUCAUACAGCUCGCCUUAUCCUUCACUCCACCG